CCCUAACCUUGAUAAGUAUUUGUUCUGUCCAGUCACGGAAUACUGUAUUCGUCGCAUCCAAACACCCUUCGCUGAUGCCAAAAUUUCUAAAUCAAUUUCUUAUCCACCAGCUGUCAAGGAUUUGAAUUUGGCCCAGCCGCGAUCUGCUACUCAUCGUUUAACCACUUCCGCCUUAUCAUCUCGGAUUCGUGCGUUUACGCUGCCAUAGCGGCGCUUUUCUCCUCCGCCACCACUGUCCGCUCCGUCCUACGCCUCCCUAAGUCCUUUCUUUCAAUCCGAGGAUCGCACAACAACGCGCACACUCGAUCAACAUAACACAAAAGAAUAGAGAGAAAAUUCAAAAAGGAAUAUUGGUUAAAGAUUUUAGUGAUGAUUUCAGGCGAGGUGUUUACUGGUGGCAGUGAAAUAUAAGAAGAGAUGCUUUGAAAGCGUAUGAAAAACUGGAAAAGGAGAAAAAACUUCGGGAAGAUAAUGUGAGAGACUUGUCAAGUGACGUUGCAGCUAUAAAUAAGCAGCAUGCUCUUCCAUAAUCCAACAGGGCAGUGUGCCAGUAAGGACGUUGGGCCCCGAAGGGGGGUGAAUUGGAGAGGAGAACGAGUGUCAGUGAGGACGCUGGGACCCGAAGAAUGGUGGAUUGUGAGAUCGCACAUCGAUUGAGAAGGAGAACUAAACAUUAUUUGUGAGAUGUUUGAAGAAGGUGGAUGGCAUAUACAAACAGAAAGAGAAGGAGCGGUUGAAGCGGUGAGACCAGGUGCGUUGCGUUCAAAAGGCAUAGUUUUCAUAUAUUGUGACUUGGAAUAAACAAUAGAUUACUUACCGUGUGUGGACCAAAUAAAUACGAAAAUGAAAUAGAAAGUAGAAACUUGCUGGUAUGAAAGGUAAGAGUUUUGCUGUUUUGAUCGUAACCAAAAAACGUCCUAAUUUAUGAGCGGGUAGACAAA